rnacentral:rRNA from 1 species
UACGUAGGGUGCAAGCGUUGUCCGGAAUUAUUGGGCGUAAAGAGCUCGUAGGCGGCCUGUCGCGUCCGCUGUGAAAACCCGGGGCUCAACCCCGGGCUUGCAGUGGAUACGGGCAGGCUAGAGUCCGGAAGAGGAGAGUGGAAUUCCGUGGAUGUAGCGGUGAAAUGCGCAGAUAUCAGGAAGAACACCCGUGGCUAAGGCGGCUCUCUAGUACGGUACUGACGCUGAGACGCGAAAGCGUGGGGGAGCGAACAGG